UACAGAGACUGCAAGCGUUAUUCGGAUUCACUGGGCGUAAAGGGUGCGCAGGCGGCCGUGUGUGUGAGGCGUGAAAGCCCGAUGCUUAACAUCGGAAUUGCACCUCAAACUACAUGGCGUAGAGCAUUGGAGAGGGUAGCGGAAUUCACGGUGUAGCAGUGAAAUGCGUAGAUAUCGAUGAGGAACACCAGAGGCGAAGGCGGCUACCUGGACAAUUGCUGACGCUCAGGCACGGAAAGCGUGGGGGAGCAAAAAGGG
rnacentral:rRNA from 1 species